rnacentral:rRNA from 1 species
AGUAACGCGUGGGUAACCUGCCCUUAAGUCUGGGAUACCAUUUGGAAACAGAUGCUAAUACCGGAUAAAAGCUACUUUCGCAUGAAAGAAGUUUAAAAGGCGGCGUAAGCUGUCGCUAAAGGAUGGACCUGCGAUGCAUUAGCUAGUUUGUAAGGUAACGGCUUACCAAGGCGAUGAUGCAUAGCCGAGUUGAGAGACUGAUCGGCCACAUUGGGACUGAGACACGGCCCAAACUCCUACGGGAUGCAGCAGAC